CAGGGUCUCAAAGGCAAUCCUCCUGUCCUCUGUGGCAUCAGUGUAACUCUUGAGUGCGUCCUGGAACCUUCUCCACAGACCUUCUACUAUAUUCUCCAGUUGUAGUCGUAGAAAGUGCUUCUCUUCUAAAUUCUAGGCUUACACCAUCAAGGAGAGACACAUAUUUUCUAGAAGAAUAGCAUGAUGACAGCAUCUAUUCGCUGUUAUUUUGGCAUUUUUGUUUUGUUUUCUUUGAGAUGGAAAAGAUGGAGGAGGAGUCAGGAAACAGCUAUAAAAAGUAGAAUGAGGACUUCAGAAGAGGAGAGCAAAAAGUCAACAAGAAGCUAAGACCUCCUGGGAGUCGGCACCAUGUGCAGACUGACUGAGGGAGAGCCAGACGCAGCCCCUUCCUGCUCCUGGGCACAGACGCAAGAAGAGCCAACGUCCCCUACCCCACUCCCCUGUAAGUGACCAGCUGAUCCAGAGAAACACAGGCUGUGAUGACAGCUAAUGAGGUAAAAUACAGCUUAACGCUCAUAGUGUUCAGUGUUUCACUGACUGCAGGCCUAAAGUCCGAUCAUCUGUUCAGAGGAUAACAAUACACAAUGUAGCAUCUAGGGGAUCUCCUUCUGAAGGUGGCAGCCAUUGUUAAUUCCCUAUUAUCUUGUUUUGAAAUCCUGUAUCAGGGCUGGGGAUUUAGCUCAGUGGCAUAAGCACCUGCCUUGUAAGCAUGUGGUUGUGAGUUCAAUCUCUAGUACUGACCAAAAAAAAAAAAAAAUUCCGUAUUAUUCUUAUUGUUUUGCUCAGUUAAGUUUUAUUCUGUUUUAUCUUGUUUGAUUUUGUUGUAUCUGAUGGCAUGGGCGGCUAUUUCAAAGAUGACACGGUAUAUUAUGGUAGCCAUUUUGGAUUUACUAUUAUCUUGUUUUGAAGACCUGUAUUGUUUUGUUUUUACUGUUUUGUUUUUAUUGGCUCUAUUCUGUUUAUGUUUUGUUUGAUUUUACUGGGCCUGAAGGUAUGAGCAGCUAUUUUAAAGACAACAAGAGGUAUUAUGGUAACCAUUGUUGAUUUCCUAUUACCUUGUUUUGAAAUCCUGUGUCACUUACACUCUCUUGUUUUUUGUGUUUUUUUUUUUGUUUUUUGUUUUUUUUGUCUUUUUCGUUUUUAUCGGUACCAGGGAUCGAACUCACGACUGCCUGCUUGCAAGGCAGGCGCUUAUGCCGCUGAGCUAAAUCCCCAGCCCUUACACUGUCUUGUUUUGAUUGGCUUUACUGUUUGAUUUUGCGUGGUUUUAUUCUAAAAUAAAAUUUUAAAAAAGACAAAAAAAGUAGAAUGAAAUAAGGGUUACAAUGAAAUCCCUUAGAAGAAAGGCAUGAAAUCAAGAGCUUCCCAACAGCAUAAACACAGCUGACUGAAUUACCUAGGAAUCCAAAAUUGUUUAGUAUGGAUUUUCCCAACUCUUUUCAUGAUCAGCGAAGUUGAAUCAAAGUGGCCAAACAAAAAUUGGUCAAACAGUUUUGUUAGUAUGAAGCGCAGAAGUGGGAGUCAAGCAACCCAUGCUCUUAUCUUGGCUCCCUUUAUGAUUAGCUAUGUGAUCUUGGGAAAGUCAGUUUCCCCUCUUGACCUGAGCCUUCUGACAGUGAAGUAAAUGUGUGGCCCUAAAUUGAAUUCACUGAGUCAUAUUAACUCUGUCUUAUACCUCAAGGAGAGUGUCUCUUGUAAAGGAGGAGAGCGAGAAACCAGAGCUCAGUAUUCUAGUUUUCAUUUCAGUGAAAAUCAGUUCCCUAGCUUUGCCACAGACUGUGUCUCACGAGGGCUUCAAGACUGGCUGGUUAACGAAGUGACUAGGACCAUUGUCUGAGGUGGAAGCGUUUCCCUGGGAAGAAUGCCUACCUUGAUGACAUUGUCCUUGCAGUCCAUCACUCGCUCAAAGGUUUGGCUGAGGAUCUCGAUGUCCUUGUGAAGUUCUCUGGUCUUGAUUUCCCGGAGGACAGUUCUCCACUGCAUGUUAAUCUUAUUAAGGUUCAGGGCACUGUUUUGUUCCUCCUUGGCCAGCUUGUCCUGUGAGAAGACAUAAGCACAUCUCCAGGAGGUCAAUGCCCAGAGCCCUGGCCACGCAGUGUAAAGAACAAGAUCGCUCUAAAUUUGUAAAGUGACACUUUGCCACUAGUGUUUUCUGAGGACCUAAAGCUCAUGAAGGUUAAUACUCAGGAGUUCCUUUUUUUAUUUGGCAGGACCUGGAGUAAGUCAGGAACAUUGCCUGAUGGCAUUUUAGAGAGGGCAAGAGUGUGUUUCCUUCAUGACAAAGCAUCAGACCUGGAUGUUGUUUACAGUUCCAUCUCCAGGGAGAAUAUCAGAAGUCAAGAUGGCUGACAGCACCUACUACCCUAGUUCUAGGGCUCAGUCGAGACAUUAACCUCUAUUCCAUCUCUACCUCCAUGCUUCACAAGGAACUGUCUAGCCUCCUAAACAAGACUGACAGAAACCUAAGUGUACCUGGGUCUCAGGAUUUCCUGAGAAAGAAAUGCUGGUAUGAAAAUGAGCCAGUCACAAUGCCAGUGCCAGGCAGCGGCUAGUGCAGGGGGUUGGGCAGGUCAGUAUGCAGAAGACUAUCACCUUCAAGAACUGGCUGAGGAGCCUCUCCUUCUUCUUGGCCAUCUCCUCCUCGGCCAGCAACUUCUGCUGAAACAGAAGCAGCUGCUCCUCAUUGGGCAGGGACGUCAUGGCAUUCUUUCCUUUCUUAGGCAUGGCUGGGUGAGGGAUUGGAUCUAGGCAAGGAGCCUUGGCUCACAUUAGAAGGACAAAAGGAAAAGGCCCUGAAAAGAUGCCUUCUGAAACUGCCUUCGGCCACUAUCAAAGCAAGACCGUAGAUCUCGCUCUGGGGCAACAGAGAGUGGAGCAAUCCGCGAGAUCCAGAUCUCCAGUGGAAAGAAGCAUCUUGUCUCCUAGCAACAAGGAUCGCUUUGAAACGACCGGGUGAGAGGCUGGAAGAAGAGCCCUCGCGCGGAGCGCCCCCUGCCCGCUGGAGGACCGCGGUCAGUUUUUGUGAAAGGGUCCUUCCAUCUAUCAAAAAUUAAUUUUGGUUGGGUGCAGUGUUAUGUGCCCGUAAUCUUAGCUACGUGGGAGGCUGAGGCAAGAAGAUUGCAAAACAAAAAUAAAAAGGACUGGUGAGAUAGCUCAGCUGUAGAAUGCAUGUGUGAGUUCCUGCGUUGGAUCCCCAGCACCAGGAAAAUGAAACAAAACAAAAAUCAUAAUAUCAUUUUUUUCUUUUGAGAUGGAAUCUCAAAAGCCUAGCCUAGACUAACCUCGAAUUAGCUACAUAGUCCAGGCUAGCCUGGAAAUCCCAGUAAUCCUGCUUUAGCCUCUCAAAUGCUGGGAUUGCAAACAUGUGCCACCACAUCCUGCUCAAAAAAAAAUUUUUUUUUUAAGAUAGGAUUUUGCUAUGUAGUUCAGGAUGGUUUUGAACUUACAACAAUCCUUCUGCCUCAGCCUCCCAAAUUGUGCACCACCAUGCUUGCCUCAAAAUUAUUUUUAAAUAUGUAAUCAAAUGAACAAAAUGUAAUGCUCAUAUAGGCUUUUACAGAGAAACAGAACCAAUAGAGAGAGAGAGAGUGCGUGUUUAUUUGUUAGAGGGAAUUUGCUCACAUGAUUUUGGAUACUGAGAAGAUCUCUAGUUGGCAAACUGGAGACUUAGGAGCACCCAGCCUGGAAGUGGGCCAGUUGAAGACCAAGAACAGCUGUUAUUUCAGUCUGAGUCAGGCCAGAGAAAACUAAGGUUCCAACUCAAACCCGGUGCGCAGGGAGAAUUCCCUCUUCCUCACCUUUCUCAUCUACCCAGAUCUUCAAAAACCAGGUGAAGUCCCCCAACAAUAAGAGAAUGGCUGCCUUACUCAAUCUAUGGACUCAAGUAUUAAUCUUACAUAGAAACACCCUCCCCAGCACACACAGAACAAUGUUUGAUCACAUGUGUAGGUACUCGUCACUUGGUCAAGGUGACACAUAAAAUUAACCACUCCCACGAGGUUAAGGCUUGAGGAGCGAGAGAUUGAGCCCAUUAUAUAUAGUAAAUUAGCAAUUUAGCUAAACUCCAUCUCAAAAAAUAAAAAAGGAUUGGAAUUAUAGCUCACUUGUGGAGGCUCUGGGUCAAUCCCCAGUACCCCAAAAAAGGAAAAAGGAAGGAAGGAAGGAAGGAAGGAAGGAAGGAAGGAAGGAAGGAAGAAUGAAAAAAAGAAAGAAAGAAAGAAAGAAAGAAAGACAGACCAUCAUAGGCCCACUCCUUGUCGACUUGGUACACUUCCUUAAGCCAUAUAUAAUCUCUAAAUAAAGAUAAUAUCAAGGCCUGGUAUGGUGGCACAUGCUUGUAAUCACAGCACUCAAGAGGCUGAGGCAAGAGAAUAGAACAAGGGCUAACCUACCCAGCAAUAAAUUAUCUCAAAAAGCAAACAAAUAUGAUAAGAAUAAGGACAUGGUUCUGUCUAAUGUAAUAGUUAUCUUGCCAGGGGUUUAGAUCAGUGGCACAAGUGCCUGCUUGGCUAGCAUGAGGUCAUAAAUUCAGUGCCCAGUACCAAAAUAAUAAUAAUAAUAAUAUAAUUACCUUGUGUGCAAUAAAGAAAAAACCAGUUUUUAAGUUGCUAGGUUGCCCAGUGCCCAGAUUGGCCACACAUGUAUAAUCCUCCUGCCUCGGCCUCUCAGAGUCCUGAGAUUAUAGGGAGGUGUAGCUGCGGCUAUUGCUUCUAACACACACACACACACACACACACACACACACACACACACACACUUUUUUUAUAGUGCUGGGAACCAGGUUCUCAUGUUCUACCACUGAACGACCUCCCCCACUCCUCGACCCUCAGAUUUUCCUUUUAGCCUGUUAGUUCAGAUAUAUGAGGAGCCCAAGGUGGUCAGGCAACAGUCUCAGUUUCUAGUCCUGUGGACACAUUGCUGUGUCAUCAGUGAGACAGCGUCCAACUAUGUAGUCAGCUUAGAUUUGAACUCCCUAUCCUGUCUCAGCUUCCUGAGUGCUGUGAUCACAGACACACACCAUUGUGGAGCUAAGACCUCUAGGUCUGCAAAGAAUGAGAUCAGGGGAACAGGGAACCAAAAUUUUGCCAGUGUUUCAUAAGACAUAAUAGUGAGUGGUGUCACUACCAUCUCCAGCUCUUGAUUUCUAGACCCGAGAGUCUUGGCUAUGGGAGAAAUGACACUGUAGAUUAGAGACUGCUUCCAAGGGUGGGAAGCCGGCCUGAGCCUCGUGGGCAUUGCCAACUUGCCAGCUCUGAGCUAAAGCCUGCGCUACUGUUUCCUCCAGUCAGACUGGUAAGGAGCAGGGUUGUGCCAGGUAACCUCAGGCCCUCGCCUCAGUCUGGCUGUUGUGAAGUGAACUCUUUGAUCAGAGGUGAGGCCAUGUGGAACACUGUGACACCCUGUAAAUCCUGGAUGGUAGUUUUGGCAGAAACAUUAUGAGUAGGGAACCCAAAUCCGGAUUUGCUCUUUUCCAUGUUUAUUUGCCAUUUGGAUGUCCUCUUUCAUGGUGUAUCUAUUACAGUUUCUGUAUAUUUUUAUUCUAGGUUGUAUGUCUUUUAUUGAUUUGUAGUAGUUAAUUUUACAUUUUGGAUAAAAGUCCUUUUAUCAGUAUAUGUAUUCCAAAUUUCUUUUUCUAGCCUGUGACUUACCUUUUCACUUUCUUUUCUUUUUUCUUUCUUUAUUUUUUAUCGUUACCGGGGAUCAAACUCACGACUGCCUGCUCUCAAGGCAGGUGCUUAUGCCACUGAGCUAAAUUCCCAGCUUCUUUUCUUUAAAAAAAAAAAAUUUUAGGGGCUGGGGAUUUAGCUGAGUGGCAUAAAUGCCUUCCUGGUAAGCAUGAAGUUGUGAGUUUGAUCCCCAGUACCAAAAAAAAAAAUUUGUUUUUUUUUUUUUUUUUUAGUAAACAAAGGUGUGGUGGUGUACAGUUGUAAUCCCAAGAGUUUUGGGAAGCUGAGGCAGGAGGAUUAUAAAUUUGAGCCCAGUCUGGGCAAUUUUUGAGACUCUUUCUCAAAAUUAAGAAAAAGAAAAAACAAAAGUGCUGAUGUAGUUUAGUGCCAGAGCCUUGAGUUCAAUCCCCAGUACUGAAAAAAUUAUUAAUUAAAAACAUUUACUGGGUGUCGUGGUGUGCUUUGAACACUCAGGAAGCCAAGAGGAGAAGAUGUGGAGCUCAAGGCUGCCUGGACUGCCUAAUAAUUUUGAGGACAGCCUGAACUACACAGCAAGACUCUAUCUCAAGAAACAAACAACAGCCAGGCAUAGUGGUACAUACCUGUAAUCCCAACACUUGGGAGGCUGAGGCAGAAGGAUUGCAAGGCCAGCCGAACUACAUAGAGAGACCCUGUCUCAAAAAGCCAAAAAUAAAUAAGAGAGAGAAAACAAAACAAAUUCACAUAACAAUACUCAGUCUUUUCUUUUUGUUUUUUUCCUUUUCUUUUGCAAUGCUGGAUAUUGAACCCAGGGUCUUGUAUAUGACAGGCAAGCACUCUACCACUGAGUUACAACCUCAAAUUUUUUUUGUUUUUGUUUCUUGCAUACUGUUCAUUCUUUUUUCUUAUUUUUAGUUUUUUGAGACAGGGUCUCACUAUGUAGUACAAGCUGGAUUUAACUCACGUCAGUAUCCAGGCUGGCCUCGAACUCAUGACCAUCCGCCUGCCUCAGCAUCCCAAAUGCUAGAAUUAUGACACUUUUUUUUUAACCGUUUAAGAAGAAGCUGGGAAAUAAGAACUAAGAAAGUAAUAAAACCCAAAAUGUGUAAAUUUUGUUGUAAAAAAGAGAGGGGAAAAAAGUGCGCUAAAGGAUACAACUGCAAGUGUGUUUAAGGGUGUUAAAUAGCUGACCAUAUUAAUGUUUUUGGUUGGAUCAUUGAAUACAACUGUUUGCAGUCUCA